UGAACGCUGGCGGCAGGCCUACCACAUGCACGUCGCACGGUAACAGGCAGAAGCUUGCUUCUUUGCUGACGAGUGGCGGACGGGUGAGUAAUGUCUGGGAAACUGCCUGAUGGAGGGGGCUAACUACUGGAAACGGUAGCUAAUACCGCAUAACGUCGCAAGACCACAGAGGGGGACCUUCGGGCCUCUUGCCAUCGUAUGUGCCCAGAUGGGAUUAGCUAGUAGGUGGGGUAACGGCUCACCUAGGCGACGAUCCCUAGCUGGUCUGAGAGGAUGACCAGCCACACUGGAACUGAGACACGGUCCAGACUCCUACGGGAGGCAGCAGUGGGGAAUAUUGCACAAUGGGCGCAAGCCUGAUGCAGCCAUGCCGCGUGUAUGAAGAAGGCCUUCGGGUUGUAAAGUACUUUCAGCGGGGAGGAAGGGAGUAAAGUUAAUACCUUUGCUCAUUGACGUUACCCGCAGAAGAAGCACCGGCUAACUCCGUG
rnacentral:rRNA from 1 species